ACGAACGCUGGCGGCGUGCUUAACCCAUGCAAGUCGAACGGAAAGGCCCUGCUUUUGUGGGGUGCUCGAGUGGCGAACGGGUGAGUAACACGUGAGUAACCUGCCCUUGACUUUGGGAUAACUUCAGGAAACUGGGGCUAAUACCGGAUAGGAGCUCCUGCUGCAUGGUGGGGGUUGGAAAGUUUCGGCGGUUGGGGAUGGACUCGCGGCUUAUCAGCUUGUUGGUGGGGUAGUGGCUUACCAAGGCUUUGACGGGUAGCCGGCCUGGGAGGGGGACCGGCCACAUGAGGCCUGAGAUACGGCGCAGAGUGCUACGGGAGGCAGCGGUGGGGAAUAUUGCACAGUGGGCGGAAGCCUGAUGCGGCAGCGCCGCGUGCGGGAUGACGGCCUUCGGGUUGUGAACCGCUUUCGCCUGUGACGAAGCGUGAGUGACGGUAAUGGGUAAAGAAGCACCGGCUAACUACGUG
rnacentral:rRNA from 1 species